ACAUCCCGAUGCUAUUCUUAGAGAUAGAAAGUUACUUCGGUACAUCGGUGACAGGUGGUGCAUGGUUGUCGUCAGCUCGUGUCGUGAGAUGUUGGGUUAAGUCCCGCAACGAGCGCAACCCCUAUUGUUAGUUGCCAUCAUUCAGUUGGGCACUCUAGCGAGACUGCCGGUAAUAAACCGGAGGAAGGUGGGGAGUGACGUCAAAUCAUCAUGCCCCUUAUGACCUGGGCUACACACGUGCUACAAUGGUUGGUACAACGAGUUGCGAGUCGGUGACGGCGAGCUAAUCUCUUAAAGCCAAUCUCAGUUCGGAUUGUAGGCUGCAACUCGCCUACAUGAAGUCGGAAUCGCUAGUAAUCGCGGAUCAGCACGCCCGCGGUCGAAUACGUUCCGGGCCUU
rnacentral:rRNA from 1 species